UAGUUUUCACAGCAUUAUUACUGUAAAAUGAGCAAAUGCUUACUGUAGAACUUGUAUACAGCAUGUUGCUGUAGAUCUGCAAAGCAUCAUGGUCUUUUUUCAACGGCGGGUAAAUUCUACAGUAAAAAUAUUUUUCCUGUGAAUCACAAUACAGCAAUUUCUAAAGGAUUUUUUUCUUCAGCCAAGGAAAGCUACGAGAUUCCACACUUUCAUCUGAAUUUUUACUUCAGAAAGGGUUGAUGACGUAUGCGAGUGCGACCUCCGCAGGCUGAAACCAGUCUCUCGAGCUGAAAGAAAACGCAGCUGAGGAGAUAUGAGGAAACUUCCACCUACAGUAAGCAGAUGCUGAGGCCCAGAUUUCCAUGAUAAGCACUCCAAGGCUCAUCAUGCUCGGAGAGUCCAAUCUGAGGGCAAAAAAUGGAUGCUUUCCAUCGAGUGCUGAGUUCUCCUCCAAUUGAGUGACGGUUGUGAUUUCACUUCUGCUCUAGCCUUUUUGCGUCAUACUAUGUAUGAGGCAGCCACUACAUUGGGAUUUAUCCAGAGGGUAGAGUCCAGCCCAGGAAGUCAACUAGUUCAUGUCCAGAUUUAAAAGAAUAAUAUUUCUGAAAAAAAGGUCUUGGAGAAAAACAAUAUUCAGGUUUGAAAUCCUGCUGUAAAUGUAAAUCAUUUAACUUUUAUGCAUUUGUAAUUUACCAGAAACUUUUUAAUAAAUAUUGAUUGUUUUGUGUGUUCAGAAAAAAAGUGUUUUUGUAUGUUCAGAAAAGUGUUGAAAUUAAAUGAAACAUUCACAGAAAAAUGUUAACAUAUUUAAAAAAAUGUAUAUGUUCAGAAAAGUUUUGAGAUGUUCACAGAAAAAAUGUAACACAAAAAAUGUAUGCUAUGCUAUUUUUAAUUUAUGAAUUUUUGUAAUUUAAAGUGAUAAAAUAAAUGGCAUUUUUGUGACAAA